AAUUCAUUCAUGAACAUAGUCCUUUGACGGCGUUGCUAAAAAUGCAAUCAGAAACUUAUUGCAUCGAGAAAAAGGUAAUGCAAAUAGAAAAAAAACAAUAAAGAUUCCUUCUUUUUUCAUCAAUAAAAAUCAUAACUAAGCAGGUAAUCGGAACUUUUUUCCCUGUAGAACUGUUCGGCGAUAUACGACUGCAAAAUCACCAUACAAAACGGUUUGGAUAAUGCCCGCAAGAAUUGCAACACCGAUGACUUUCUUGUGAACUGCAAUACGAUAAAUCCAAUGAGGAAUAUAUAGUCCUCUAUAUAAGCACAUUGCAAAUAAGUAAUGGGCAGUCAGGCUCUCUGUUUCACCAGAUCGUUGUAACAUAAACAAUUGAGGGAGAAUUGCAACACUUUCUAACCAAAUACUAAAAGUCCAUAGGAUGUUACUAAUGGUAUAACUGGUUGGAUAAAUGAGAGCCAGAACUGCACAACCACCUAAGAUAUAUUCAGUUC